AUAGUGUAGUUGCUGUUUGUUACAAUGGGGAACAACCUCAGAGGUGACUGUGAUGUCAUGAUUUACACUCCUGAUUGGGCGGGUUUUGGCGCGUUUUCAGGAAGAAGUGGGCGGGUUUUUGUAAAAUUAUUUGGCAGCGCUGAAGGGGGAGCCGCUCAGACACUGAGGGAGAGCAGAGAGGAGGAGCUGUGAGAGAACCCCCUCCCAGAGGUGCAUUUCUGUGAUGAGGAGGUGUACUGCACAUGCUGGAGACCAUGCAGGACUGCACUGGUGCAAUGUGGGAGGUGUGGCGAAUGGUUCCAUGGCCAGUGCCAACAUCUACAGCCAGGGUACAACCAGAGGGAUUGAAUGAAGAACUUGCAGGGAUUGAAUGAAGAACGGAAUUCCUAUAGACCCUAAUAAGCUAUUUUCUUUUUUUUAAUUUUCUUUUAACUUUGAUCCGGCUAAACUAUGUUAUUGGUCUAAUGUAAUCAUGAGCUAUGAGUAUUGGUUGUAUAUUGAAGAUGAGAACAAUGCACUGGAAUGCUGUAAUUAACGAACUCUUUGAAUAUGACUGUAUUGCGAUGUAAUUGUCCUGCUAGCUGUGAACAUGCUGUCGAUCCUAAUGUAUUGUUUCUGUUGAUGCACAUAAUGCAUAUGUUGACACUCAAAUACCUGUUUUUAAUUGUUCCCAGUUGCUUGUUUUGCACAUAAUUAGUAUCAUUUAAGCCAAAUGAAACAACUAUUUUUAAACAUGUUUGUUCUUUGUCUCUGGUAGUACUGAUGAUUGUCUCUUGCCUGUCAUUAAUUAAUAUAACUUGUUGUUUUCUUUUGAAUUUUGCAUUGUUUCUUCACCCUCAGUGUGUGGCUCUGUCCUGUGCCGUGGCACCUGUGUGCUUGUGGAGAUUGAUUUUCCCUCAGUGUGUGGCUCUGUCCUGUGCCGUGGCACCUGUGUGCUUGUGGAGAUUGAUUUUCUCUCAGUGUGUGGCUCUGUCCUGUGCCGUGGUACCUGUGUGCUUGUGGAGAUUGAUUUUCCUUCAGUGUGUGGCUCUGUCCUGUGCCGUGGCACCUGUGUGCUUGUGGAGAUUGAUUUUCCCUCAGUGUGUGGCUCUGUCCCGUGCCGUGGUACCUGUGUGCUUGUGGAGAUUGAUUUUCCCUCAGUGUGUGGCUCUGUCCUGUGCCGUGGCACCUGUGUGCUUGUGGAGAUUGAUUUUCCCUCAGUGUGUGGCUCUGUCCUGUGCCGUGGUACCUGUGUGCUUGUGGAGAUUGAUUUUCCCUCAGUGUGUGGCUCUGUCCUGUGCCGUGGUACCUGUGUGCUUGUGGAGAUUGAUUUUCCCUCAGUGUGUGGCUCUGUCCCGUGCCGUGGUACCUGUGUGCUUGUGGAGAUUGAUUUUCCCUCAGUGUGUGGCUCUGUCCUGUGCCGUGGCACCUGUGUGCUUGUGGAGAUUGAUUUUCCCUCAGUGUGUGGCUCUGUCCUGUGCCGUGGUACCUGUGUACUUGUGGAGAUUGACGCACCUGUUAGGUAUUGCCCUUUGGACAUUGUUUUUAAGGUGCAGUGAAAACUUUUUUUGCUGAACAUUUGUACCGUUUUGUUAGCUGACCAUCUUGCUUGUUUGGCACCGCUAAGUCAUCAUUAGCUUAUUGUUCAUUUUUGCUUUGUUGCUGCAACAUUACAAUAUGUUGAGUUAAAAUGGGGAAAUGCUUUUAUUGUUAAAUUAAUGAAUUAAUUUUCCCAAACUCUGGAACACCGUUCCUAAAGAAAUCAGGGAUUCAGCUCCUUAUUUUUAGAAAGGCAUUUUUAUGAAUGUUUUUAUCUUCUGUGUUUCUUUGCUGUUGUGAUUUGUAUUUUUCUUGUAAAGUGUUCUGAGGUGAUUGCUUUUAAAGGCACUAUAUAAAAUAAAGAUUAUUAUUAAUAGUUUCAGUCCCCCAGCCACAUAAU